CCAACAGUUUGUCUAUUCUAGAAGCCCACCUUUUGUGGCUCUUCCGGUAGCUUUGCUUUUAUAAGAAAAAAAAAGAACCACACCUUCUAGAUUUCACUUGUUUUAUAAAAGCAAGACCCAUCAUUAUAUAAGUCCUCACGUCUUGUACAAUAAAGUUGUGUUUAAAUUUCUUUCAGUUUCACUUUCUGCAGUUCCAGGCUUUCAGCAUCAGUAUUCCACAUUCAGACCUGGUUCUAGGCCAUAAUAAAACAUGGGUUCUUUGUUGAAGCCUUCUCUACUUCUCUUGUUGCUCUUCGUGGUCGGUUUCACAUCUCAAACACCAAGAUUUACAGAAGCCAGGCCCCUUUCUUUCCUACCUCAACAAAGAUUUUCGAAGGUUUUUGAAACACUAGGAGUGGUGUGCAAGUGCUGCGAUGGCCCUGGAGGAGAAUGCAUGAGUACUACAGGGGUUCAUCAAAAUUGCUCUAAUUUACAAUGCCUUCCUUGGAAGCUAGAUAUAUCUCGACAAUAGUUUUUCAUUGUUGCUGUACAGACAUUUUAUACCAGCUAUAAUUAUAAUAUCAUGUGGGUUCCAACCCAAAUUUUAAGUUUCCAG